GAUGAACGCUGGCGGCGUGCCUAAUACAUGCAAGUCGAGCGAACAGAUGAGGAGCUUGCUCCUCUGACGUUAGCGGCGGACGUGUGAGUAACACGUGGAUAACCUACCUAUAAGACUGGGAUAACUUCGGGACACCGGAGCUAAUACCGGAUAAUAUAUUGAACCGCAUGGUUCAAUAGUGAAAGACGGUUUUGCUGUCACUUAUAGAUGGAUCCGCGCCGCAUUAGCUAGUUGGUAAGGUAACGGCUUACCAAGGCAACGAUGCGUAGCCGACCUGAGAGGGUGAUCGGCCACACUGGAACUGAGACACGGUCCAGACUCCUACGGGAGGCAGCAGUAGGGAAUCUUCCGCAAUGGGCGAAAGCCUGACGGAGCAACGCCGCGUGAGUGAUGAAGGUCUUCGGAUCGUAAAACUCUGUUAUUAGGGAAGAACAAAUGUGUAAGUAACUAUGCACGUCUUGACGGUACCUAAUCAGAAAGCCACGGCUAACUACGUG
rnacentral:rRNA from 1 species